rnacentral:rRNA from 1 species
ACUCCUACGGGAGGCAGCAGUAGGGAAUAUUAGAAAUGGACGAAAGUCUGAUCUAGCAACACCGCGUGUGCGAAGAAGGCCUUCGGGUCGUAAAGCACUUUUUGGAAGGAAUAGGAAGGAAUGUACUUCCAGAAUAAGUCUCGGCUAACUACGUGCCAGCAGCCGCGGUAACACGUAGGAGGCAAACGUUAUCCGGAUUUACUGGGCGUAAAGCGCGUGUAGGUGGUACUGUAAGUAGGGCGUGAAAGCUCCUGGCUCAACUGGGAGAGGCCGUUCUAAACUACAGAACUAGAGGAUGGUAGAGGGAGGUGGAAUUCCAGGUGUAGCGGUGGAAUGCGCAGAUAUCUGGAGGAACACCGGUGGCGAAGGCGGCCUCCUGGACCAUUCCUGACACUCAGACGCGAAAGCUAGGGUAGCAAACGGGAUUAGAGACCCCGGUAGUCCUAGCCCUAAGCGAUGUAGACUUGGCGUCGGUGGCUUAAUCGUCAUCGGUGUCGUAGCUAACGCGAUAAGUCUACCGCCUGGGGACUACGGCCGCAAGGUUAAAACUCAAAGGAAUUGACGG